GUGCAGCAGGCGAGAAAACUUCACAAUGUGCGAAAGCACGAUGAGGGAAUCCCAAGUGCUUGCACGUAAGUGUAAGCUGUUUCUCUGUCUAAAACGCAGAGAGAGUAAGGGCUGGGUAAGACGGGUGCCAGCCGCCGCGGUAAUGCCUGCAGCUCGAGUGGUGACCGUUAUUAUUGGGCCUAAAACGUCCGUAGCCGGUUUAAUAAAUGCCUGGGUAAAUCGGACCGCUUAACGGUUCGAAUUCCGGGUAGACUGUUAAACUUGAGACCGGGAGAAGUUAGAGGUACUCCUGGGGUAGAGGUGAAAUUCUGUAAUCCUAGGGGGACCACCAGUAGCGAAGGCGUCUAACUAGAACGGGUCUGACGGUGAGGGACGAAGCCCU
rnacentral:rRNA from 1 species